rnacentral:rRNA from 1 species
GAUGAACGCUGGCGGCGUGCCUAACACAUGCAAGUCGUGCGAGCUCGAUCUUCGGAACGGGUUAGUGGCGCACGGGUGAGUAACACGUAGGUGACCUACCCCAGAGUGGGGGAUAACUUCUCGAAAGAGAGGCUAAUACCGCAUACACUCGGUCAUUCAUUUGGCCGAGCAAAGCUCUGGCGCUUUGGGACGGGCCUGCGUCCGAUUAGCUAGUUGGUAGGGUAAUGGCUUACCAAGGCUUUGAUCGGUAGCUGGUCUGAGAGGACGAUCAGCCACACUGGCACUGACACACGGGCCAGACUCCUACGGGAGGCAGCAGUGAGGAAUAUUGGGCAAUGGGCGAAAGCCUGACCCAGCAACGCCGCGUGAGGGAUGAAGGCCUUCGGGUUGUAAACCUCUUUUCUGGGAGAAGAGACAAGGACGGUAUCCCAGGAAUAAGUCUCGGCUAACUACGUGCCAGC